AGCAGCCGCCACGGGAAUACAGAGGGUGCGAGCGUUAAUCGGAUUUACUGGGCGUAAAGCGUGCGUAGGCGGCUUUUUAAGUCGGAUGUGAAAUCCCUGAGCUUAACUUAGGAAUUGCAUUCGAUACUGGGAAGCUAGAGUAUGGGAGAGGAUGGUAGAAUUCCAGGUGUAGCGGUGAAAUGCGUAGAGAUCUGGAGGAAUACCGAUGGCGAAGGCAGCCAUCUGGCCUAAUACUGACGCUGAGGUACGAAAGCAUGGGGAGCAAACAGGAUUAGAUACCCGAGUAGUCCCUGUCUCUUAUAC
rnacentral:rRNA from 1 species